CAACAACGGAUCUCUUGGUUCUGGCAUCGAUGAAGAACGCAGCGAAAUGCGAUAAGUAAUGUGAAUUGCAGAAUUCAGUGAAUCAUCGAAUCUUUGAACGCACAUUGCGCCCCUCGGUAUUCCGGGGGGCACGCCUGUUCGAGCGUCAUUGCACCCCU
rnacentral:rRNA from 1 species